GUAUUUGCUUGUCAAGCUGUGUGUGUGUGUGCGUGUGCAUGUGUAUAUAUAUAAAUGCAGAAUACAAUUCCAGGCUUGAUAUUUUCCAAUUACUCGGACACAAAUAGGAUUGACCUGCUUGA
rnacentral:miRNA from 1 species